UUAAGUUCAAACAUAUUCUAAAAGAUCUACAUUUUCUUUUUUACUCCCCUCUCCCACAUUUUGUGUUUUUGAUGUCAUAUUUUACAUCUUCAUGCUUAUCUCUGCUGUUUAUUGUAUUUAUAGUUGCUUUCACUUUUUUUUAAAUCUAUAUAGUGGCUUAUUUAAAUGACCUUCAGUCCUUAUAAUAAAUUUGCCUUUCCUAUUGAGAUUUCCCUUUUUCACAGCUCUUACUUCUUUUCCAUUUAGAGAAGAUCCUUCAACAUUUCUUUAAGGGUAGGUUUAGUAUUGCUGAAUUCUUUUAGUUUUUGCUUAUAUGAGAAGUUCUUUGCCUCUUCUUCUAUUCUAAAUAAUAAUCUUGCUGGGUAGAUUCUCCUAGGUUGCAGGUUUUUCCCUUUUAGGCCUCUGGAUAUAUCAUGCCACUCCCUUAUGGCUUGCCAAGUUUCUGCAAGGAAAUCAGCUGAUAGCCUUAUGGGGAUUCCUUUGCAUAUGACUAUUUUUCUCUUGCUGUCUUUAGAAUUCUCUCUUUAACUUUUGCCAUUUUAAUUAUGAUGUCUUUGUGUGGGUUUUUGGGGUUCAUUUUGUAUGGGAUCCUCUGUGCUUUCUGUACCUAGAUAUCUGUUUUCCUCCUUUAGGUUUUGGAAGUCUUCAGCCAUUAUUUCUUCAAAUACAUUUUUAACCCUUUCUUCUCCUUCUGGAACCUGUAUAAUGUGAAUAUUGGCACAUUUUAUAUCAUCCUGUAGAUCUUGUAUGCUUUAUUUAUUUUUUUUUCUGUCUUUCUGGCUGCCAUUCUGAUUGGAUGAUUUCCAUUGUUCUAUCUUCCGGAUCACUUCUGUGUCAUUUAGUUUGCUAUCAAUGCUUAUAGAGUGCUUUUUUAUCUCCGAGAUUGAAUUACCAAUUUUUGAUUGAGUCUUCUUUAUAGUUUCUAAUUCCUUGUUAAAUGAUCUGUGCUUAGAUCAAUUCUCUUUCUUAAUUCAGUUAGCAUAUUUAUUACCAACUUUUUGAAUUCAUUGUAGACCAUCUCCUUUUCAUUAUUUCUGCAGGGGUUUUCUCUUGGUCUUUCAAUUGAGAGUAGUUUCUCUGCCUUUUCAUUUCACUUAACUUUCUCUGUCUCUGUGAAUUUAAGUGGAACGGUUAUCUGUUGUGGUCUUGAAGGGGUGUUUUUAUGCGGGCGCAUUCCUAUGUAGACUGGGUGUGCCCAGUGUCUUUGGUGUGAAGAUUGGAUUUGAUGUGGAUGCCAGCCAUGUCUUUCCACAGGUUGUGCUGGCUACUAUCGUCUUGAUAAGAGGGUAUGGCUGGUGUUGGAGGAGGUAAAGCCUGUGCAAGGUGAGGUGACACUUCCUCUCUUCUCACUGGCUGCAGUCGUCCUGUUGGGCAGGGUCUGCUCUCAAGUUGCUGGAGCAGAAGCUCUGAGGGUUGGGCUGGAGCUGGCUCUGUUCCCUUCAAGUGUGUGUUUUUCCUUCUCUCUACUCUGGGGACUUUGCCCUGAAGGAGGGAAGCACUGAAGUAAGCAGGGUUUGUGUGCUAACAGAGCUUCAAUGAGCUGCUUGUGUAGGCAUCUGUGGCUCUGCUCAGAUGGAGCCCAAGUUUGUGUCUUUCUUCCUGUUGUGGACAUCCCAGAUGUAGUACAAACUUUUGGUGUGGACUGGGCGAGGAUAGAGCAUUUGCUCAGCUGGGACCAGGGAACGUGGCAUUGUGGUUGCGGGAAGUGAAGCUGCCGUCAGAAGUUGGGGCUGCUUCUGUAGUGCUGUUUGAGUAACUGUCAACAAUGGCUGCUGCUGCCCCACUUGUACCACACCCCAGGCCCCGCGGCCACCUCUGUGUCCCUAGAUCUAGUCUUUCCCCAGGACCUGGAGCUGCCCUAGAUCCAGUGCCAAGCUGUGGUAGGGAGUAAGUGGAGCCAGGGUUUUCACUCAGCUUGGGCUGGGGAGCCCAGUGAGGUGGCAGCUGCAUCUGUGCAUUCCUCACAAGUGGGGCCUAGGCUUCACCCUUCCCGUCAGUCCCAACUGUUCUCCAAGCAGCCAAGGGGUCUUGUCUCCUCCACAUAGGACCCCAGGACUGUCGCUUAACCUGCUCACUCCCCAGGGUGAGGACCUACCCCUGCAAGCUCCCUCUUAAUCCCCUCCCAGGACACAGGUCCUGAUCUGAUGCUUUUCCUCCCAUUCUAUCGGUUUAUGCGGAAUCUUUCUUGCAGUCUUGGUUGUAUGGGAGUUCUGCCAGUUUCCAGGUAGUUUUUGUUGAGAAUUGUUCCACAUGUAGAUGUAUUUUUGAUGUGUUUGUUGGGGGAAGUGAGCUUACCCUACCAUCUUGAUCCUUCCUCCCUCUCUCCCGUCCCCACUUCUCCCUUUCUCUACUCACAGAACCUGUGGUUCCUGGGGUUCUUUUUCAUCUACCCCAGGAGCAGGAGUCUUGUGCACAUUCAUCUGGGCUUGGACCCAGCAUUAUCAUAAUUUGGCACCUUUCAAAGAGUGUCUGUUGGCAGCUUUCAUCCAUUUGUUUAACAAAUACUCAUUAGAGGCCUACUCUAAGCUCCAUCCUGGUCUGGGGCUACUGAGGUGAAUAAGACAGAUGUGGCCUCUGCUCUCAUGAAGGUUAGUAAGGGGAGAAAGGAAUGAGAAAAUACACAAGGUGAUUUCGGUGAUACGUGCCAUGAGGGAAAGAAAGCAGGGUGCUGGGGGAGAAAGUGACAGGCUGUCAAGGCAGGCCUCACAAAGGGGUGACACUUGAGACCUAGAUGAUCAGAUUGCAUCAACACCAGGCAGGAUUCUUUGUUGCAAAUAACAGGCUUUGACUCUGGUGAACGUAAGCAGAAAAGGAAUAUGCUGGAAGGGUAUCAGGUAGCUCAGAGAAUGGGCGGAAGGCCUGGAAGAUUAGGCUGGCCACAGAGGCGGUUGCUAAAGGAGGCUGGUGGCCAAAACACUGACUGACCAAAGUCGUGCCACAGAGGACUCUAGUUAGGACCCGGCCACCACUGCUCUGGAUACUGACCUUGAACCCUGGACCCACUGGCAUGCCUCCACCAGAGGGACCUCCAAACUGGGCCUGAUGGCCUGCCCCAGACCACAGGUUUGUUCACAGGUGAGCAGGAGUUCACAUCCCUCGCAUGCAGAGUGAAAGCCACAGUCUUCAUAGUCCUACGUGAGCCAGUGCUCGGUUCCCCUAUGUCCUUGUCUACUGCUCUUCCCUGCUCUGCCCACGCGGGUCUCCUUGCAAGUCCUGUCCCGCCAAGCCCACCCCCACCUCUUGGGGCACUGGCUCUUCCCUCCAUUCGGAACACUUUCCUCAAGUCUCCCCCUAGCUCCCUCCUUCACCAAGUCUUAGCACCAAGUCACCUUCUCUGGAGGCCACCUGACCUCCUUAUUUAAGCCCAACCUUCCCAGCCCACAUGAUUCCUUUAUACCCUUUUUUCCCCUUGUCAUCUUUUAAUAUAUCAUUAUUAUAUUUACUAUUUAUUUACCGUCUCACUGAUGAAUCUGCCCCAGGUACCUAGACCAGUGGCCGGCCUUACAGUUAACACCCCACAGCUGCUGGGUGAAUGCAGAGAUGACUGCAUGGUGUGCUGAUCCUGCUGUAACAGGUCUUGGGAGGCAUGAGUUUAAGGACGGUUUCUGCAGCCGUCACAUGAUAGCAAAACGGUGGUAAGCAGUGCACGAGUCUGCGUCGAAGACAGCCAGAGUCCAUGCAUCGGGAGGUUCUCUCCGUUGGAGAAGAAACAAAGGGAGGACAUGCUCGGGCCAGGAGAUGCAGUUCCUCGUUCUCGCCACUAGAGGUCAGGAGGUUACCGCUUCGGAAUUGGAAGACGGGCCCGAGGGGUAUUGGCUAGUGGUGGCGGUGGACGGGACUAGGGAGAGGGUAGGGGUGCAGGUGGAUGUCGAGCGAGCAUCUGGCGACCCCCUCGUUACUGACACCUGACUUUGGAAUGACUUUUUUUUGCUUCAAAUUCCUUGACUGUGUAGGGCUGAUGGGCCAGAGGAAAGAUGCCAGUUUGGGGUCAAAGGCAGAGCUGAUACUGCAGCUUCUCAAAGCGAUUUUUCUUUAAUAGAGAUACAAUCUGCAAGGGUUCCAGAAUAGUGCCAGAGUCCUAGUGGAGGUUCUGUCACUGCCUGGGGGGCCUCCUGCCCCUCCUCCUCUAGGGUUGGCUGUUCAGAAGACCCACCUCCCAGCCCGACUGUCCCUAUGGUCAACUGGAACCAUUUUUCAGGCCUAAGUCUGUAGUAGAAAGCCUCAGACCAGGUGCCUUGAGUUCUUGUCCCAGCUGGGCCCUGUACAGGCACCUGCUUGCUGGGCCUCAGCUUCUCCAUGUGUCUGAUAAGGAAGCUGUCCUAGAUAAGGCUCUAGGCGUACUUCUAACUUUGCCAUUCAGCAUUUCCAUGUGUUCACAGGGAUCCUGUGAGGCUCCUCUCUGAAUGAGGCCACCCCCAAAAAGGCAAAGCUAAGAAGAUACCCAGACCUCACCCAGACACAAGGCUCCUCAAAAUAGACCAUCUCUCUCUUAUUUUGACUUUAGGCUCCCAGAGUUUCCCCCAUUCCAGCUGUAUGGAGAAAAGUGAAGACCUUGUCUCAGUCCCCUCAAGGAACCAGGGCCUGGCUCACAGGUUCAGAGGCUCAGUGGCUGAAUUCUGGGACCGGGCAGUAGACUGCUGAGGAAGCCCUAAGUGGCACAAACGAUUUCAAAGCCAUCUAGAAGACAAGGCAGCUGGACCACAGGCUGAGUCCCCACACCUCCAUCACCCACUGGAGUUUACCGUGUCUUCACCUGAGUAUCUCUGCUGAGCCCUAACAGCCCAAAAGGGAGGAGACUGGGGAGUACUGUCCCCCAGGCAACCGGAGGACAUGGCAGUCAGAAGACCUGAGCUUCAGUCCUGGUUCACUCCCUCGCAGCUGUGUGACACUGGUAACUACUCAGCCUCUCUGAAUCUGUUUCCUCAUCUAUCAAACGGGGAUGAGAGUUAAGCCCAUCUCAUAGGGUUGUGAAGAAUCAUUUAGACAGUGCAUGUAAAACCCUUGUCAUGCACAAAGACUUCUUAGGAAAAAAACGAAGGAGGUGGGGCAGGGGCCAUGAACAUGGUCUGCCCCAGCUGUGGUAGCGCUGGAAGGCCUUGGGUGAGUCGCUUUCCCUUUCUGGGCUCCGUUUCCCAUCACUGCAGUGAUGGGUUGAACACAAAAAUUCCUGGGUUCUGCAUUUGUUCAUCCAGUAUUGAAGACCCCUUGGUUGGCAGGAAGAGUUUGGGGCUUCAGGCCUGGGCCCAAGAUUCUGAUGCCCUCAACCCCUUCCUGGAGACCCUGACCUGGGGUGCAGGGUGGCUCUCUUUCUACUUCUGGAGGACAGAGCCAGCCCUGCAGGCCUUCCCAGAAACAAGGCCCUGGACUGCUGCCAAAUACUCCUGAAAGGGACAGCAGUAGGGUGAGGAUGUGCAGGCCACCACCUGGGGUCCUGCACUUCCCAACUCUGAACCCAGAAGGGCCUGGGUGGAGGGUGAGAACAGGAGGACUUUUUUAUUCUUUUUGUGGAAAGAAAAAGGGACUCUCUUCUUGACUGUAGCUGACCUGAUGCCUCUGGGAACAAGAGGCAGGAUCCAGCUUCCUCAGGAGGAGAAAGAGAUCCAAAGGUGGGAGUGCUGGGCCUGUGUAAGCCUCCCCCCAUGGCUACAAAUCCAGGUUGGCCUGGCAGCUAGAGGUGGGGUGGGAGCAGGGCUGAGUGUCAUGGCCCCUGUGUUCCACUCCUACCAAACCUUUCCCCUGCUUCCCGCCCAGAGAGACCGGUCCCCGACAUGCACUGGCCUCCCCCCGUUGUCUGCCUAGAAGCUGCACUCACCCUUCAAGGACUUGCUGAAGCAUCACUUCCUCCAGGAAGCCCUCCCUGCUCUUCCAGCAGUCAGUCCAGAAUCUGCAGCACGUGCAGGUAUCUGGAAUUAAGCAGAUAAGCAGAGGAUGGGACAAAGCUCUGGGUACACAUGGAGCCAGCGGGGCUUGGAAGAGCUUUGUCCCUAAGGAGAGAUUCCCCGGCCCCUGUUUGUCCUAAUCAUUGGAUGUCCCCAGCACUGCUCUGUGGGAAAAGGUGAGUGGUCAGCUGCAGUGGCAGAAGCAAGUGGUUCCUUCAUCACCUGGACCCCCUGUUCACAGCGGCUUCCUGAGGCUUCCACAGAGCCCCUCCGUCUCUCCUCCUAGGAAAGAGGAUUUCCCUAUUUCUGAAAGUCUCAUUUUCACAAACACAUUUCCCACCAGAAGAACAUUUUUAGCAGAGUUGGUCCCUUGUUAGAGCUUCUCUUUUUUAAAUAGCAGAUUAUGAAGAUAGAAUUUGCAAGCUAUACAAUUCAUUCUUCUCCAGGGUAUAAUGCAGCAGUUUUUAGUAUAGUCCCCGAGUUGUACAACCAUCGCCGCUACCUCACUGUAGCUCUGAGGAAGGAAAAAGUCCUUUUGGGCAGUAACAGUGCUGUUUCCUACAGGGAGAGGGAAGCCCUACUUGCAGACCUGUCCCCUCCACAGGCAUCAGUGCCUUAGACUUUGAUGCAGAACAGCUGUCUUCAUCUGGGGCUGAGAGAGGUGGUGGGACUUGCCCAGGGUCACACAGCUGGUGCUCAGAAGUCAGGACCUCUCCUUUGCAAAGCCGCUCACCCUGUCCCUGCAUGGACACCAGAGUGACAGUUGCCCUGCUCCUCCUGAGGGCGUGGACCUCAUCUGUCUUACCUGCCACCAGCUGCCUGGUGCCCUGCCCAGGUGGGUCAGUGAACACAGAAAGUGGUGGUGUUAUUAUUACAUAAGUCAUAGGGGUUCAUUAUAGAAACACUGGAAAUAUGUAUUGACAGAAGUUGGGGGUGGGGGAGAGAAAUGAAGACAUGGUCGCACAAAUACCUGUUCUUUAGCAGCUUUAUACAGCUAUCAACAAUUGGAAACCACCGCGUGUUCUUCAACAGGAAGUGACCUGGCUGACAGCUUUUCAGAUUCUCUACCUGACGGACGACUGCUUGGCAGUACAGACCUACAGACCGAACUCCAGGCGCACACACCCCGCCACCGGCUCUCCAAAGUGUUAGGUUAUGUGGGAGAAGCUGGAGUCAAAAGGCAACAGCCACACUGCGCAGUUGCCUUUAUAGAAAAUCUGGAAAAGGCAAAACUAUUGGGACAGAAAAUAAAUCAACGGUUGCCUGGGGCCGGGGACCCUUCUAGGGCGACAGUAUCUGUAUCUUGACCAUGGUGGUUAUGAGACUGUCUACAUCAGUCCCAACUCAGGGGGUGAAGCCUACUGUAUGUAAAUUAUCUCAAUAAAUCUGACUUUUUAAAACAA